UAGGUGAAUCUAUGGAAGGAUCAUUGUUGAAACCUACAAAUCAGACCCAAAACUCAUUCCAUGACACGCGCGGGAGGACAACGGUUAUUCGUGUGUCGAUCGGGAAAUAGACUGGGAACGACUACUUCGAGGACCUUUCUCGAGCAUCAACCAGUCGACUCAGAACUAGUAUGGACAAGGGAAAUUCAGUUGUUUAAUUAAAAUAAAGCAUUGUAAUGGUCUCCGCGGAUGCUCACGAAAUGUGAUUUUUGCCCAGUGCUCUAAAUGUUAAAGUGAAGAAAUUCAACCAAGCGCGGGUAAACGACUAGAGUAACUAUAACUCUCUUAAGGUAGCUAAAUGCCUCGUCAUCUAAUUAGUGACGCACAUGACUAGAUUAACAAGAUUCCCACUAUCCCUGUCUACUAUCUAGUGAAACCACAGCCAAGGGAAUGAGCUUGGCAAAAUCAGCAGGGAAAGAAGACCCUGUUGAGCUUGACUCUAGUCUGACUUUGUGAAAUGACUUCAGAGGUGUAGGAUAAGUGGGAGCCAAAAGGAGAAAGUAAAAUACCACCACUUUUAACAUUAUUUUACUUAUUUCGUAAAUUGAAAGUGGGGCACUGCCCCUCUUUUUGGACCCAAGGCUCACUUUGCGGGCUGAUCCGAGCGAAAGACAUUGUCGGUGAGGAGUUUGGCUGAGGUGGCACAUCUGCUAAAAGAUAAUGAAGGUGUCCUAAGAUGAGCUCAACGAAAAUAGAAAUUUCGUGUGGAACAGAAGAGUAAAAGCUCAUUUGAUUCUGAUUUCUAGUACAAACACGAACCGUGAAAGUGUGGCCUAACGAUCCUUUAGACCUUUGAAAUUUGAAGCUAGAGGUGUCAGAAAAGUUACCAUAGGGAUAACUAGUUUGUGGCAGCCAAGCGUUCAUAACAACAUUGCUUUUUGAUCCUUCGAUGUCGGCUCUUCCUAUCAUUGUGAAGCAAAAUUCACCAAGUGUCGGAUUGUUCACCCACCAAUAGGAAAUGUGAGCUGGAUUAUGACUGAAUGCCGAUAGGCUAGUUUUAUCCUAUUAUGAUAGUGUCAAAGUAGUAAUUCAACCUAGUAUGAGAGAAACCAUUGAUUCACACAAUUUGUCAUCGCACUUGGUUGAAAAGCCAGUGGCGUGAAGCUACCAUGUGUUGGAUUAUGACUGAAUGACUCUAAGUUAGAAUUUGGGCUAGAAGUGAUGAGCGCAUCUACCAUUCACUUGCUGACCCGCAGUAGGGGCCUCAUGGCCCCAGGGGCACAUGUUGUUGGCAAAGCCUUUACAGCAGACGUGCUGCGUAUGUCACCUUGAAGUACAAUCUCCAUCGACCUGUAGGCAGAAUCCUUUGCAGACGACUUAAAUACGCGACGGGGUAUUGUAAGCGGCAGAGUGCCCUUGCCGUCCAAAAAUGC
rnacentral:rRNA from 1 species